UACGUAGGUGGCGAGCGUUGUCCGGAUUUAUUGGGUUUAAAGGGUGCGUAGGCGGCCCUAUAAGUCAGUGCUGAAAUAUCCCGGCUUAACCGGGAGGGUGGCAUUGAUACUGUAGGGCUUGAGUAAAGUUGAGGUUGGCGGAAUUGACGGUGUAGCGGUGAAAUGCUUAGAUAUCGUCAAGAACACCUAUUGCGAAGGCAGCUAACCAAGCUUUAACUGACGCUGAGGCACGAAAGUGUGGGGAUCAAACAGG
rnacentral:rRNA from 1 species